UUUAAUUAUUUAUGUUAAAUUAUAUUACAAUUGGAGUAGGAAAUAAUCUAAUUUUGACUUCUAAUCAAUUAAUUAAAG
rnacentral:tRNA from 1 species